rnacentral:rRNA from 1 species
CGAUCUUUUGAAGAGGCCGCAGUGAAAAGGCUCAAGCGACUGUUUACUAAAAACACAUGUCCCUGCUAACUCGUAAGAGGAUGUAUAGGGACUGACGCGUGCCCGGUGCCGGAAGGUUAAGGCAAGCUGUCAUCUUGUGCAUUUAUGUAUAAGAGAAGCAGUGAACUGAAGCCCUGGUAAACGGCGGCUGUAACUAUAACAGUCCUAAGGUAGCGAAAUUCCUUGUCGGGUAAGUUCCGACGCGCAUGAAUCGCGUAACGAUUUGAGCAUUGUCUCAACGAGGGACUCGGUGAAAUUGAAUUGGGGGUGCAGAUGCCCCUUACCUGUGGCAAGACGGAAAGACCCCGGAACCUUUACUGUAAUUUAGCAUUGGAUUUUAGUUCAAUAUGUAGAGCAUAGGUGGGAGGCUUUGAACUUCGGUCGCUAGGCCGGAGGGAGCCAACAGUGUAAUACCACCCUUAUUGUACCGAAGUUCUAACUCUGAUAACAAGUCGGAGAACAGUGCUUGAUGGGCAGUUUAACUGGGGCGGUUGCCUCCCAAAGAGUAACGGAGGCGUCCAAAGGUUCCCUCAGCACGGUCGGUAAUCGUGCGUAGAGUGCAAAGGCAUAAGGGAGCUUGACUGCGAGACCGACAGGUCAAGCAGGCGCGAAAGCGGGGCUUAGUGAUCCGGUGGUUGUGUGUGGAAACGCCAUCGCUCAACGGCUAAAAGGUACUCCGGGGAUAACAGGCUUAUCUGGUCCGAGAGUCCAUAUCGACGACCAGGUUUGGCACCUCGAUGUCGGCUCAUCGCAUCCUGGGGCUGAAGUAGGUCCCAAGGGUUGGUCUGUUCGUCCAUUAAAGCGGUACGCGAGCUGGGUUUAGACCGUCGUAAGACAGGUCGGUCCUUAUCUGCCACAGGCGUAGGAUAUUUGAAGGAAUCUGUCCUUAGUACGAGAGGACCAGGACAGCCGAACCUCUGGUGCACCAGUUGUUCUGCCAAGAGCAUUGCUGGGUAGCUACGUUCGGUGCGGAUAAGCGCUGAAAGCAUCUAAGUGCGAAGCCCUCCCUGAGAUUAGAUAUCCCUGAAGGCAACUCGAAGAUGACGAGUUUGAUAGAUCAGUGGUGUAAGAGUGGUAACACUUUCAGCUUACUGACACUAAUUGCCGUUCGAUUUUUUUGU